CCCUUAGAUGUUCUGGGCGGCCCGCGCACUACAUUGGCACUCUCAAUAAGUUCCUAGAUCUAAAACUUUGGGGUAUUCUAUUAAGUGGUGUCGUGACUGGGAUUAACCCUUGCAAUUAUUGGUUACGAACGAGGAAUUCCUUGUAAGCAUGGUUUAUCAUCCGACGCUGAAUGCGUCCCUGCCCUUUGUACACACCGCCCGUCGCUCCUACCGAUGAGUCGUCCGGUGAAGUUCGUAGACCUCGUGAUCGCGGAUCACUGGGGGAAGCAAAAUGAACCUCGCGGUUUAGAGGAAGGAGAAGUCGUAACA
rnacentral:rRNA from 1 species